AUGUAGUUAAAAAAAGAUUUACCAUUUAACAAGUAACAACCGGCGAAUGCCCCAGAAAUCCAGAAUUAUACUCCGACAAUGGCUCCUUCUCGCCGAUCUUGGAAUUUUAUGGCGAUCUACGGUUAUGAUGUGCUUCUUGGAUCGAUUGCUGCGUUUUACGUGUUUAUGGUUCCAUUCACCAAAGUCGAAGAAAGCUUCAAUGUUCAGGCCAUGCACGAUAUCUUAUAUCAUGGGCAUCACAUUGAAAAUUAUGACCAUUUGGAGUUUCCCGGGGUUGUUCCUCGCACAUUUAUUGGUGCGUUGCUAGUUUCUAUUUUAGCAUCUCCAAUGGUUUUAGCUAUCAAUUUGUUGCACUUGCCAAAGAUUUAUAGCCUUUUAGCAGUUCGUUUGGCUCUAGGAUUUUUCAUUUUGGCUACACUUCGAUUUUUACGUGUUCAGAUUAGAGAUAAGUUCGGUCCCCAAGUUGAAGCUUUCUUUGUGACACUGGUAGCUAUUCAGUUCCAUAUGCUGUUUUAUAGCACACGCCCUCUUCCUAAUAUACUAGCAUUGGGAAUAGUAAAUCUAUCAUACGGCUUCUGGUUGAAGGGGAGCUUUUAUGCUACACUAAGAUGUCUGAUUUUUGCUACCAUUGUCUUUAGAUGUGAUAUGCUGUUGCUUCUUUGUCCUCUCGGUUUGGAGCUUUUGCUGACAAAAUCAAUUUCCUUGUGGGAAGCCAUAAAACACUGUGCUGUAGCUGUGUUAUUCAGCAUAGGUCUUACUGUCUUAGUUGAUUCAGUAAUGUGGCAGAAGCUAUUGUGGCCCGAAUUUAAUGUUUUUUGGUUUAACUCUGUCUUGAAUCGGAGUUCAGAGUGGGGUACACAGCCAUUUUACUGGUACUUCACUUCUGCUUUGCCUCGCUCGUUGCUGGUUGCAUAUCCUCUCUUUAUGUUUGGAGUUAUACUUGAUAGAAGAAUCUUAUUCUACGUGGUUCCAGUUUUGUCAUUUGUUGUACUCUACUCCAAGCUUCCACACAAGGAGCUGCGCUUCAUUAUUAGUUCGGUUCCGAUAUUUAAUUUGUCAGCAGCAGUUGCCGCUAGUCGUAUUUAUAACAACAGAAAGAAGAGCUUCUGGAAUCUUCUGUACAUAGCUCUCUUGAGUUUGUUUGUGAUCAGUCUAGGGUUGACUGCUAUCACUUUCAUGGCUUCAUAUGAGAACUACCCUAGUGGCUAUGCUCUAAGAACUUUGCACAGAGUAGGCCACACCAAGAACACUACCAGUGAAAUACUGGUUCAUAUUGAUACCUUCUCAGCUAUGAAUGGAAUUUCGCGGUUUUGUGAGAAUGACAACCCAUGGAGGUAUUCUAAAGAAGAAGGCAUACCUUUGGAAGAUUUUUGGCAGCGAAACUUUACUUAUCUUUUGAAUGAACACUUGAGCAUCAAGGGAUUCAAGUGCUUGUUUCAGGUGGACGGUUUCUCCAGGAUCCGUCUUAAUGUUGGCUUCCCGCCAAUUUCAAUGGUCAAAGAACCCAAAGUCUAUAUACAUGGAAAUCUUAAGAACACAGAUAUCAUGCGUAGAAGUUGGCCAGGUUGCUCAUGAAUCUCUCCAACUUGGUAGAUUUUUGUGACUGAUUAAUUGAACCCCCGAACUUUUCGCAGUAUGUUAUAAUUUUUAGGUUCGGUGACUUCCGACCCCCCGGUGGAAAUUUUCAAGCUUCGCCACUGAAUCCGGGUGUGGUCAUAUCGACAGCUUUUGGUGGAAAAACAAAGUUUUGUUGUGCUAUGUUAACACCCUUUUGUUAGUAACAUUUGGGUUUGAAUCCUAUUUUGUGACUGGGAACAAAAGUUUUGACCCGGGUUUCAGUGAAGGUAUUACUUGGGAGUUCACGGUUUGGUUCAGCUGGUCUUGAUGAAUAUUCUUGGCAUGGCCUCUAACUACAAUUCUGGAAACAACAAACUAACCAAGUGGUUUGACAGUUCAGUUUUGGUA